rnacentral:rRNA from 1 species
CAGUUAAGUUGAUUUCUUCGGAUUGAUUCUUAACUGACUGAGCGGCGGACGGGUGAGUAACGCGUGGGUGACCUGCCCCAUACCGGGGGAUAACAGCUGGAAACGGCUGCUAAUACCGCAUAAGCGCACAGAGCUGCAUGGCUCGGUGUGAAAAACUCCGGUGGUAUGGGAUGGGCCCGCGUCUGAUUAGGCAGUUGGCGGGGUAACGGCCCACCAAACCGACGAUCAGUAGCCGGCCUGAGAGGGCGACCGGCCACACUGGGACUGAGACACGGCCCAAACUCCUACGGGAGGCAGCAGUGGGGAAUAUUGCACAAUGGGGGGAACCCUGAUGCAGCGACGCCGCGUGAGCGAAGAAGUAUUUCGGUAUGUAAAGCUCUAUCAGCAGGGAAGAUAAUGACGGUACCUGACUAAGAAGCCCCGGCUAACUACGUGCCAGCAGCCGCGGUAAUACGUAGGGGGCAAGCGUUAUCCGGAUUUACUGGGUGUAAAGGGAGCGUAGACGGCAAGGCAAGUCUGAUGUGAAAACCCAGGGCUUAACCCUGGGACUGCAUUGGAAACUGUCUGGCUCGAGCGCCGGAGAGGUAAGCGGAAUUCCUAGUGUAGCGGUGAAAUGCGUAGAUAUUAGGAAGAACACCAGUGGCGAAGGCGG